UCGAUUCCUAGGUACCAGGACUUAGUACCGAAUCGAUUCAAAUGUCAAAGGUACCCAUCCCUAUGAAUGGCUGCUCACACUGAUCCAGCCUCUGAUGGAGGUUUCUUCCUGCUAAGGGGAGUUUUCCUCUCCACUGUUGCUGCAUGCUUGCUUAGGAUGGAGAUUGCUGUGAAGACUCUGACAAAACAAGUCAGUGGCUCGAUGCAUUCUGCUGGGUUUUCUGACACAGGAAACGUUUAACUUCUUCAAAUAAUGAAACGUCACAAACAGAUCAAUUAUCCACAACAAGGUCAGCUCAGGUAUAAUUUGGUGUUUUUACUUAGCUGUUGUGAUUGUUGAGCUGUGUGCUACCCGCAAGAAGUGUGAAAUGUGUGCACACUGUUGUGUCAUUCCCGUUGCAACAGCUGCACUCAAUUUGCAACACAUAUCCAGAAAUUCAAGUUGGAUAAGAUGCAAAAGUAGGCCGUGGUGUGUGCAUGUGCCUAACACAAAUAAAUGCAGAGAGGAUAACUUAUCCUGCAGAAUCCGGCUCUGAGCGGUGACGGUUUGGAGUAGAUCCAGACUUCGGUGAAAAUUCUGUAACCAGUCAAACGAGUGCAGCACAGCUGAGAUCAUCUGGUUUGAGGCAACGACUCGAUUCCCAACAAAGUUCCAUGAACAAAAAAUAUGCAACCAUGACAGCACUGAUGGAUUAUGGGAUGCAUUUAUAAAAAGGUCUGCAGGUGUGACCAGGUUAGCUGCGAAUCCUCCACAGCAAACUCCUGCCUUUUACUUUGUGCAUGCCUGUCAUUCCUUCUCAAUCAACGGUUUGUACACUCUGGGUUCUGCUGAUAACUCCCAUAUGGCAGCUUUGUGGUUGCCCUGGCAACAGCCAUCCAGGUAAUCUGUUGCACCUGUGAGAGUAUGCUGACUCAGAAAUGUUCUCUGCUCCACAGUUUCAAGAAGCAACGUGGAGGAGAAUUAUUUUUUCCAAACAAACUUCUCCCAGUUCUGUUUUCCAGCGGUGAUUAGCCUCGGCAGAAAUCCCCAAUUUAUCUCAUCUUCCUUCCUCCUUCGUUCUCCUAACAGACUUACUGGGGGGGAGGCAUGCCGAGAAGGAUCUGAGCACAGCUCUGCAGAUGGAAGGUCAGGAGUCAACCAGAGGAGAAGGGGAGGUGCCACGCCCAGGUCAAAGGUCAGGACACAAGACAAGCUGACAUAAACCCCACACCCUGAAGUUAUACAGAAAACAAGAAGAAGAAGAAGACUCCUGGGCAAACACGUUAGCAAAAAACAAGCUCAGCUAAUGCAAACAAGCCUGAGUGUUUGUUUAUGUCAGGGACAAGCAAGAGUUCACUAUUUAACGUGAAACACUGGUGCUCUACGCUGAUGCGUCAUGAGCUGGUGGGAGGCUUGGUCACAUGACCAUCUCUCAGUUAUCUUCCUGCAACCAGUUAGAGAAUCACUUUCACCUAUAGGGACAAAUUAGAGUCACUAAUUAACCUGACACGCAUGUUUUUGGAGAAAACACUCCCAUACACGGGGCGGAUAUGCAAACUCAGAACAGAAAGGCUGUGCAGGUGGGAUUUGAACCAGAAACCUUCUUGUUGUGCAGCAAAAGACCAAACGGUCUCGCUAAAGCCCGGUUCACAGACCAAGAUUUUUAACUUGUCGGCUGGUUUUCAAAGCAUGAGAGAUUACACACGUGGUGACAACAAAUCACAGAUAUAACUUUUUUGGUCCUGCAGUAUGUGGUGUGCAGCAUCUCAGCAUAUGCAACACAUGAACUGCUUUCACUCACGGGCACUUCCUUCUCAAACGGGUGACCUCAUGAGAUAAAUCGUGUUUUGGAGUGAAGAAACAUUGUAGAGGAGGAGCAUUUUCUGAUUGGCAGCACGUUCAUUUGUCCCCGAUCUGAACAUCCCUAACGGCCUUUCGAGCAGAUCAUAGUGUUUGUAACACACCACAUACAGAAGGAUUAUCUGAUAAGAUUAUCUUUAGAACUACUACACUAACCAUAUCAACUUUAGGAUUGUCAGAAGGGAAGGAACGGGUCAAAAGUCAGCAUGAUUAUCCUGCUGCAUAGACUUGAAAGUAACACAAAGUAGUUUUUUAAACUUUAGGUUCAGUUCAGUUUGUUUAUUUUGUGCCAUAUCAAAACAAGAGUUGUCUCAAGACACUUCGCAAAAUGAAACAUUCCAACUGAGUUCAGCUUAUUGUACCAGUUAGUUAAAAGUUUCCUAUAUAAGGAACCCAGCAGAUUACAUUGAGUCACUGUUGUGUCAGAGACUUUUGCAGCUAUCCACAUACUAAGAAAGCAUGUGGCGACAGUGGAGAGGAAAACUCCCUUUUAACAGGAAAAAAGCCAGAGCUCUAACAUUGAUCUCAGUGAUUGUUGAGUUAGAAACUUGACCCGUUUCCUAUUUUACACCACUCAACAGACCUCUGCUGACCAGAUACUGCACUAAACAGUUUUGCAGAGAGGGUAGAUGCUCUACGGGGGGCUCUUUACCUACUUUACGAUUGGUAUGCUAGCAGUUAGCUGUUUCAGUUUGCUGAUUGUCCAAAAAAAGUACAAGAAGAGAACAAAGAAGUUUGUUUUUGUUGGCAUUAUUGCGGAUCCUGGAGACAAAGCAUCGGCGAACAUCGGCACGGCCUACGCUAGUCUGAGGGAGCUAAGGGAGGCUACAAAAUAAUGGACUGAUGGUGACCUGGCUUUGUUGCUCCUGGACUUGUAAGUAAAAAUAUUUUUGUCCAACAAUGUGGAUCAUUUUACUUUAUGGUUUAUUUUAGAAUCAGUUGGUUCAUGUUAGGGCUGCGCAGUGGUUAGAGCUGUUGCCUUGCAGCAAGUAGGUCCAGGGUUCGCUUCCCGGCCUGGGAUUUUUCUGCAUGGAGUUUCCAUGUUCUCCCUGCGCAUGCGUGGGUUCUCUCCGGGUACUCUGGCUUCCUCCCACAGUCCAAAAACAUGACUGUUUGGUUGAUUGGUCUGUCCAAAUUGUCCAUAGGUGUGAGUGUGUGUGUGCAUAGUUGUUUGUCCUGUGUGUCUGUGUUGCCCUGCGAUGGACAGGCUCUCUGUCCAGGGUGUACCCCGCCUGAUUGCCCGUUGAC